rnacentral:misc_RNA from 1 species
CAGACAAGUAUACCUCAUACAGUGCACCAAGCUUUCUCACACAUUCCAAAUUGUCAAGCCUCCUUCACCACCCUCUUGCACAAGAGCAAUGGCCCGUGGCAACCAGCGUGAUCUCGCGCGGGAGAAGAACAUGAAGAAGCAGCAGCAGAAGAACAAAGGUCACCGCGAGGACGGUCUUUCCCACGCUGCGCGCAGAGAGGCGGAUGCCGAGGCGAUGCGUCUGAAGCAGGCCGCUGCUGCGGAGCGGAAGGCUGCCGGAGGCUCGUGACGCUGUUUAGCAGAUCUGCUACACCACUGUUACUGCAUUCUUGAAAGUGAGAUAACAACAGCAACAGGAAUGGCUACUUUGCACCAUUCCUUUUUUUUUUUCGUACAGUUUAUAUAUGCUGUUCGCUGCUGAGGAAGUGCUGCGGAACUCUCUCAAACACUCGAAUCGCGAGAUUCGAGGGUAGUGGAUGACUCACUCCACUUCCCCAGCACGAUGUGCGAACAAGGAGUCUUUGCUUUUCUUUUUUUCAUAGGAUGCCUGUUCGCUCCGGUAACACAAAAGGAGACUGAUGUGGCUCGCUGCCAAGGCAUCGAUGCACGGCGAAAAGGGCACAAGUGAGCGAUUCCUUUGCUUCGUCGUGUGCGCAUGGUCACAAGUAAAGGUGCACAGUGCUUUUUGCAUUUUUUUUUCUGGGUAUGCAGAACGAAAAUACACAACAAAUAUGAACAGGCCUGCUGAUCGUUCUGCGGCUGUGAGGGCCCGCAUGCUAUUCUCUUCACGUUGUCUCUUUUCCAAGUUUCCUUGUCUGUCGCCUAGACUUGACAGAUAGAGGGAAAGCCCUUGGGAAAGAGACGUGGCCGCCAUGGCGUUUGCACAGCAUCGUCUACUGGGAAGCCGCUUUGCACUCCGUCGUCUGCUCGGUAGGAGGUGCUCGCUGCACACCAGCGUCUCGCUUUUGCCGUCCACGUUUUUGCUCUGUGUGCACUCGACAAACAAAUGGCCACAG